rnacentral:rRNA from 1 species
UACGUAGGGGGCAAGCGUUGUCCGGAAUCAUUGGGCGUAAAGAGCGUGUAGGCGGCCCGGUAAGUCCGCUGUGAAAGUCGGGGGCUCAACCCUCGAAUGCCGGUGGAUACUGUCGGGCUAGAGUGCGGAAGAGGCGGAGUGGAAUUCCUGGUGUAGCGGUGAAAUGCGCAGAGUAUCAGGAGGAACACCGAUUGCGAAGGCAGCUCGCUGGGACGUAACUGACGCUGAGACGCGAAAGCGUGGGGAGCAAACAGG